AGAUAAUAUUAAUAAAGCUUCUAACUUUAAUUUAGAUAUUAAAUUAUCAUUAUUUCU
rnacentral:tRNA from 1 species